ACAAAACAAAACACGUUCAAUGCAAAUCCCUAAAACACUAACUCAUGCGCCACCCUCUUCACCGUUCCGGUCGAGAGAAGCAUGUGAAUUCUUCAGUCACUCUCCAAUUUCUUUACCUUAAAUCUUUAAAUCACUCGAUCUGUCCAAUUCCUUUAUCAUUCUCGUCGAGAGAAGUGAGAACCCGAGACCGCCUCACUGCCGCCGUACUGAACCUCCACAUCACACUCCGGUGCUCCGCCGUUCAACCGGAGAUCGAUUACAUAGUCUAUUCGUCUCUGCUUCUUGUCGCACAGUUCCCUCAUCUGCUUCCACCAUUUGUUGUUGGUAAAGUGAAGCUCCACUUCCUUGAACUCUUCUUUCAUCAAUAUCUCCAUGGUGGUGGUGGUGGUGGUGGGGAAAAUGAGGGCAAGAGAUGCUGCAUUAAAUGCUACCUAGUCACCCUUACUAGAUAUUGGUAUUGAGAGGACCACUGGAAUUCUAUGGAACAUAACUGGUGGAAGUGAUAUGACCUUGUUUGAGGACAUACAAGCUAAUGAACGUGUGAAUUUGAACCAAUUCAAUCAGCCAUUUUUGGGGAAUCAGUUCAUUGAUUCAACACAUACAUAUUUUGACAAGGUUGAGGUGGUGUAACUUUGAACCAGUCUGCCAUCUCAUGUACUUAAUGCAGCAAUGUUGUAUUGGCCAAUGCCUAAUGCAUUGUAUAUUGAAGGUUAUGCUCGAGGUAACUGGAUUAAAAUAGUCAAGAGAUGUUAGGCGUUUUUAGUCUAGCUAGCACUAAUUAAGGAUCAUGAAGCAACAUCAUGUAAAGGGGAAUAUUUAGAUAUUUUGUGAACUUAUUUUGAUGUAAUGUUUUGUAUGUUUAGCCACUCUACUAAUGUAUUAGUUUUGGAAUGUUUGAACUUCAUUAGUGUUUUUUUUCUUUUGGAGUUUUAAGCACCUUAAUUAAAAUUUUG